AUUGAACGCUGGCGGCAGGCCUAACACAUGCAAGUCGAACGAGUGGCGGACGGGUGAGUAAUGUCUGGGAAACUGCCUGAUGGCGGGGGAUAACUACUGGAAACGGUAGCUAAUACCGCAUACCAUCAGAUGUGCCCAGAUGGGAUUAGCUUGUUGGUGGGGUAACGGCUCACCAAGGCGACGAUCCCUAGCUGGUCUGAUAGGAUGACAAGCCAGACUGGAACUGAGACACGGUCCAGAAUCCUACGGGAGGCAGCAGUGGGGAAUAUUGCACAAUGGGCGAAAGCCUGAUGCAGCCAUGCCGCGUGUAUGAAGAAGGCCUUCGGGUUGUAAAGUACUUUUGGCAGGGAGGCGUUAUCUGCAGAAUAAGCACCGGCUAACUACGUGCCAGCAGCCGCGGUAAUAC
rnacentral:rRNA from 1 species